rnacentral:rRNA from 1 species
AUUGAACGCUGGCGACAGGCCUAACACAUGCAAGUCGAGCGCGAAAGUCUUCGGAUGAGUAAAGCGGCGAACGGGUGAGUAAUGCAUGGGAAUCUGCCUGGUAGUGGGGGACAACGUCUCGAAAGGGACGCUAAUACCGCAUACGCCCUACGGGGGAAAGGGGGGGAUCUUCGGACCUCUCGCUAUCAGAUGAGCCCAUGUCAGAUUAGCUAGUUGGUGAGGUAAAGGCUCACCAAGGCGACGAUCUGUAACUGGUCUGAGAGGAUGAUCAGUCACACUGGAACUGAGACACGGUCCAGACUCCUACGGGAGGCAGCAGUGGGGAAUAUUGGACAAUGGGGGCAACCCUGAUCCAGCCAUGCCGCGUGUGUGAAGAAGGCCCUAGGGUUGUAAAGCACUUUCAGUGGGGAGAAAGGUUAUUCACCUAAUACGUGAGUAGAUUGAUGUUACCCACAGAAGAAGCACCGGCUAACUCCGUGCCAG